rnacentral:rRNA from 1 species
AGAGUUUGAUCAUGGCUCAGGAUAAACGCUGGCGGCGUGCCUAACACAUGCAAGUCGAACGUCCUCUCUCUCUUCGGAGGGAGAGGGAGUGGCGGACGGGUGAGUAACACAUGGGUACCUGCCUCCCAGUGAGGAAUACCCGCGGGAAACCGGGGACAAGACCGCAUAGCCUCCCUCGCCAGAGGGAGGAAAGCCCGGAG